rnacentral:rRNA from 1 species
UACGGAGGGUGCAAGCGUUGUCCGGAAUUACUGGGCGUAAAGGGUGCGUAGGCGGCGCAGUUAGUCAGAAGUGAAAUAUCGGGGCUUAACCCCGGGGCUGCUUCUGAUACUGCUGUGCUCGAGUGCAGGAGAGGUAAGUGGAAUUCCUAGUGUAGCGGUGAAAUGCGUAGAUAUUAAGGAGGAACACCCAGUGGCGAAGGCGACUUACUGGA